CAAGCACUCCAGCUGGAACUCAGCAAGCAAACACAAGGCGUGCUUCACAGCCCUGGGCCUGGAGGCUAGUGCAGCAAAGGGAAGAGAAGAGGAAAACUUUCUGCUAAUGUUAUCGGUGGAGGCCAUCCAGGCUCUUGGCAUUUUGAACAAAGACUUGGCCAACCAGCUGGCCGUGUGGCCUAAUGGAUAAGGCGUCUGACUUCGGAUCAAAAGAUUGCAGGUUUGAGUUCUGCCACGGUCGUGGAGGGGUUAUAUUUUGUUGGGUGCGGUGGCUUAUGCCUGUAAUCCCAGCAUCUUGGGAGGCCGAGGAAAGCGGAUCACCUGAGGUCGGGAGUUUGAGGCCAGCCUGGCCAACAUGGAGAAACCCCAUCUCUACUAAAAAUACAAAAUUAGCCGGGCGUGGUGGCGCAUGCCUGUAAUCCCAGCUACUCGGUAGGCUCAGGCAGGAGAAUCACUUGAACCUGGGAGGCAGAGGUUGCGGUGAGCUGAGAUCACACUGUUACACUCCAGCCUGGGCAACAAGAGCAAAACUCUGUCUCAAAAAAAAAAAAAAAAAAAAAAAAAGGGCCGGGUGUGGUGGCUCACACCUGUAAUCCCAGCACUUUGGGAGGCCAAGGCAGGCAACAUGGUGAAACCCUGUCUCUACAAAAAAACCACAAAAAUUAGCCAGGCAUGAUGGUGCACACCUGUAACCCCAGCUACCGGGGAGGCUGAGGUGGGAGAAUCGCUUAAAGCUGGGUGGUGGAGGUUGCAGUGAGCUGAGAUUGUGCCACUGUACUCCAGCCUGAGAGGCAGAGCAAGACUCCAUCUCAA
rnacentral:tRNA from 10 species